ensembl:rRNA 5S_rRNA 5S ribosomal RNA
GUCUAUGGCCAUACCACCCUGAACACACCUGAUCUUGUCUGAUCUCGGAAGCUAAGCAGGAUCAGACCUGGUUAGUACUUGGAAUGGGAGAAUUUAGGCCUUACUAUGGGCU